rnacentral:rRNA from 1 species
AAUAGAUACCCCGGUAGUCCACGCCGUAAACGAUGAGUGCUAAGUGUUAGAGGGUUUCCGCCCUUUAGUGGCUGCAGCUAACGCAUUAAGCACUCCGCCUGGGGAGUACGGUCGCAAGACUGAAACUCAAAGGAAUUGACGGGGGGCCCGCACAAGCGGUGGAGCAUGUGGUUUAAUUCGAAGCAACGCGAAGAACCUUACCAGGUCUUGACAUCCUCUGACAACUCUAGAGAUAGAGCGUUCCCCUUCGGGGGACAGAGUGACAGGUGGUGCAUGGUUGUCGUCAGCUCGUGUCGUGAGAUGUUGGGUUAAGUCCCGCAACGAGCGCAACCCUUGAUCUUAGUUGCCAGCAUUUAGUUGGGCACUCUAAGGUGACUGCCGGUGACAAACCGGAGGAAGGUGGGGAUGACGUCAAAUCAUCAUGCCCCUUAUGACCUGGGCUACACACGUGCUACAAUGGAUGGUACAAAGGGGCUGCAAGACCGCGAGGUCAAGCCAAUCCCAAUAAAACCAUUCUCAGUUCGGAUUGUAGG